rnacentral:rRNA from 1 species
ACGCUCGACACCUACAGGAGGCAGCAGUGGGGAAUAUUGCACAAUGGGGGAAACCCUGAUGCAGCGAUGCCGCGUGAAGGAAGAAGUAUCUCGGUAUGUAAACUUCUAUCAGCAGGGAAGAAAAUGACGGUACCUGACUAAGAAGCCCCGGCUAACUACGUGCCAGAAGCCGCCGGUAAGUACUGAGGCGGGCGUGGCGAAGGACG